UGUUUUUCCUCGUCAACACGGUCUGUUUCAUGGUUUUGUCAAACCGUCGGUUUAGUUUGAUUUUUAAGUCGGUACUAGUAUACAAAAUUCUAUAUAUGAUCUAAUCCUUUUACGAGAUAUUUAAUUUGGGACAUUUGUUCAAUAAUAAGUUAACAAACAUUUUUAGAUUGGUACAUUUGUCAUGUUUGUUGAUUACUUUUAAUUGAUCAAAACCUAACUUUUGACAUUUCAAAACCGUCGUUUAUCUCGCGUUAACGUGUACAAAUAUAACCUGAAUAUUUUGCCUUUAACGUGUCGUGUUACAUAUGAUGAUCUCUAGAUAUUAAAUUUAACUGAUAUUUAUGUAAUUAACAUGGGUUUAAUUUUCAUAUUAUUACUAACCUUCACGUGAUUCUUGUAGAAUUGCUUGACAGCUGAGUUUGUGUAGAAUUCAUCCGGUUCAUCUAAACCGGCCCAUUCCACGUACUUUUUUCUCCCUCCAUAGUCUUCGAAAUUAUUGACUAAACUAAUUAUCAAUUUAAUAUUAAAUCGUCCAGCUUCAUAGACGACAAAGUCUAGCCCCUGCUGUCACAAAACUUUGUAUCAGUAUUAGUACUCAUAAAACCCAAUUACAAUUUGUUGUUAGUUUUUCUAUCAAUCAAUUGUGAGAGUCUCUUUAUUAGGUCAACAAAAAUUAAAGGUGUCUAGUACCAAAUUAUGCUUCUAAUUAAUAUAAAUAUGAUUAACAAUGUGAAAGUCUAUCUAUGCUUUUGUCAUUUUUUGCGAUUAUCCACUUUAUAUUAGCGUAUGAAAAGGAGUAGACGACGAUUUUUUUACGAGAAAAAAAACAAAAAGGUUUGAAGGUCUUAUGUCGGAAGUAUAA